AGUGCAGCCUGAGUGCUGUGAGGAAGAUUAUGAGUAAGAUAGAAAGCACACAUGAAUUUGGGCUUUUGUUGUGGCAAGAUGAUAAAAGAUGGAACUCUUUGUCAGAGCGGUUUUUGUGUGUGUAUGUGUGGCAGUGUUCUGGCGGAGGCUGGAAAGCAGGUGGGCGAGAGGAGUUGAAAUGACACCUGGUAACAGGCUGACAGCCCCAAGUACCUCAGAGCCAGUCAGCUACGCUAAUACAGCAUCAACAUAAACACUCCAAUAACCGGCAUGUCUCUCAGUGGACUAGCACCCCAAGGCGCUCCACUCCAUCAGCCUGAGAAAUGGACCCUCCUGCUGUUUACUCCUACCCAGCAGGGCCACAAGCCUUUACCUUAGGUGAUGACCACAUGGACCUCAGCACCUGGCAGCCAUUCAUCAUCAUCCCAGCAGCACUGCAGCCUUUGAUACCCUGAUAUGGCUCUGAUGGUGUAUGCAAGAGGUGGAUCUCAAAGAAGCCCAGGCCAUGGAGGAUGGUGCUCUCCUCCAGUUUGCUGCAGAGUCCCGCUAUCUUGUACGGCUGUGCAGCUCAACCAGACCUAAACAUGUACAUUCAACACAUAGGCACAGUGAUGAGGCUGACCCAAAUGACUGGGAUAUUAUUGGGAGAGCGAGAGAGGGAGACCUCUGGUGAAUACUGAUGAAGCUCGGCACAAAGCUGCCUCCUGGCCUCAUUAACCUGCCGAAGACUGCCUUUGUUUUCCUCUGCAAUGCUCCAAACACUUCCUACAUCCUGUCCGAAAGGGGUUUCGGAAGUCACACCGUGGAAAGAGAAGAGGCAGCCUUCAAGAAGCUCAGGGGUGGCAGCAUGAGCAGGACCAGCACACUGUGUGUUGGGAAAAGAAAAUCAUUUAGUUUGUCUAAAUGUUGUCGCAGGAAAAGGGAGACUUAUAAAGAGGGAAUUAAGCAGUAAAGUGUGUGAAUUAAGUAAAAAAAACGUUAGUAAAGAGUUUUUAAAUGUGUUGAAAAGUGCCAGAUGGAGAAAGGGGAAAAGUCAGCUAUUUUGUAAUAGAACACAAAAACAUGGAUCACACUGUCUCCCGCCGCACUUGCAACGACCAAAGAAGAAGGAGUUGGAGGCGAGGACAGAGAGUGAGGAAGUGGAGCGAAAGGAUGAGAACAAGUAGGAUGAAAACAGAGGGACAGCGAGAGCAGAUGAAGUAAGAAGGAAGUGGAGGGCUGGCAGUGGAGAGAGAUGCCUCAGCCUGCUGCUCUGCCAUGCAGGGACGUGACCACCCACCAGGCCAGUCAAGGCUGAGGCCUUGCAUCAUGUCAGAGGUGCAGAUAGACACCCAGCCGAGUCAUCUGCUCUUUGGGGGAUGGGACAGAUACAAAUGUGCGAGUGCACACAUAAACACACUCACACAGGCACACCACAUAGACAUGGGCAGAACAUAGAAACAUUCUUCAUAAAAGAUUAGAAACAUUUCUGUGUGAUCACACACACAAAGACACACACACACACACACACACACACACGUACUUUUAAUGAAGGUUUUCAGAUUCUUUGUUAAUUAUUCUUUAAUUAAUUUAAUGUCACUUUUGCAAUGUAUAAUGUAAUGUGUUGAAAUGCAAUUAAUAUGUGAGAUUAAUCUCAUAUCUGCAGGUUGGGCUGAUUUAAUAUUCUGGCAAAGGACUACAGGAUGGAAAUAAGUCAAUCUUGGCCAACCCUUUUUGUUUUAAUGUUGAUUAAUGUGCACUGACCUUGACAAAUAAUACAAAUGCGAAUACAAAAAGAGACACGCACACAGACACAAAAAUAUACCCAUUCAUAAAUCAAGCAAUCAUAAAUUCUAACAAUGUACAAACCCUUUUAGAGACAACUUAGACAGGUGAAAAAUUCAGGGAGAAACCAAACCAAAUGAGGUCUCUGAAUCAGUUUAAGAGAAUGAAAAUGAUGUCAGUCACGUGUCAUAGUCUUCACAGUCAGCACAUAUCAACCCUAUUAACACCUACAGGAGAUUAUGUGACCAUGUGCUCUCAAUCACCAUCAUUAAAACACCAAAUGA